rnacentral:lncRNA from 1 species
AGCUGUGUCCCUACUCAGAGAGAGGCUGGGGGCUUGGGGGUGGACAGGCCAGACGGUGACCAUCUGAACCUACUCCUCACUGGGGUUUUCCUCCCUCCCUUUCCUGUCCACUGCUGCUGGGAGGGAUUUGCUGUCCUGGCAUCUGGCCCAGCUGACGGGGCCAAGUGUAUGAGUGGCAGCCUGCACGUCAGCCCUUGGGUGUGCAGUUUCAGAUUCCAGAGAAUGAGCUGGCUUGGAGCCCUGCUGAGUCAAUGCCCUUCUCCUUGCCAGUGCUCUGAGCCAACCUGCCCCGAGUUCUUCCUGGCAGGCUGGUUUUCUGUGCCAGCCUCCCCUUCCUGACAGGGUAUAGGGGAAUGGGUAGGGAAGAGGCAGAGGAGAUCGGUGCAAGUUUGAAUGAACACUUAGCCCUGUGGAAUGAAUGUGGUCCAGCCCUUUAGCCUCACUCAGUACUUCCUUUGUCCCAACUCUAUCCCUACCCCAGGCUCAGAAUGUUGGGGUAUCUCCACCUGCCUGAGAACUUCAAACAUACAGGGGCUGGGCUUAGAGGGCAGCAGCACCUUCGUUCAGUGCAUGAGUGAAUGAAUGAAUGAGGGAGAGAAAGAGGAAGGUCUUCCAUGUCUGAAACUUUUUUUUUUUUUUUUGACACACAGUCU